AAUCUGCGAUAAGCGUCGGUAAGGUGAUAUGAACCGUUAUAACCGGCGAUUUCCGAAUGGGGAAACCCAGUGUGAUUCGUCACACUAUCAUUAACUGAAUCCAUAGGUUAAUGAGGCGAACCGGGGGAACUGAAACAUCUAAGUACCCCGAGGAAAAGAAAUCAACCGAGAUUCCCCCAGUAGCGGCGAGCGAACGGGGAGCAGCCCAGAGCCUGAAUCAGUGUGUGUGUUAGUGGAAGCGUCUGGAAAGGCGUGCGAUACAGGGUGACAGCCCCGUACACAAAAAUGCACAUACUGUGAGCUCGAUGAGUAGGGCGGGACACGUGGUAUCCUGUCUGAAUAUGGGGGGACCAUCCUCCAAGGCUAAAUACUCCUGACUGACCGAUAGUGAACCAGUACCGUGAGGGAAAGGCGAAAAGAACCCCGGCGAGGGGAGUGAAAAAGAACCUGAAACCGUGUACGUACAAGCAGUGGGAGCACGCUUAGGCGUGUGACUGCGUACCUUUUGUAUAAUGGGUCAGCGACUUAUAUUCUGUAGCAAGGUUAACCGAAUAGGGGAGCCGAAGGGAAACCGAGUCUUAACUGGGCGUUAAGUUGCAGGGUAUAGACCCGAAACCCGGUGAUCUAGCCAUGGGCAGGUUGAAGGUUGGGUAACACUAACUGGAGGACCGAACCGACUAAUGUUGAAAAAUUAGCGGAUGACUUGUGGCUGGGGGUGAAAGGCCAAUCAAACCGGGAGAUAGCUGGUUCUCCCCGAAAGCUAUUUAGGUAGCGCCUCGUGAAU
rnacentral:rRNA from 1 species